GGGGCCGUAGCUCAGUUGGGAGAGCGCUUGAAUGGCAUUCAAGAGGUCGAGGGUUCGACUCCCUUCGGCUCCA
rnacentral:tRNA from 2 species